GACGAACGCUGGCGGCGUGCCUAAUACAUGCAAGUAGAACGCAGUUGCGAACGGGUGAGUAACGCGUAGGUAACUGCCCCAUAGCGGGGGAUAACUAUUGGAAACGAUAGCUAAUACCCCAUACUGUGAGAUGGAUCUGCGUUGUUUUAGGUAGUUGGUGAGGUAAAGGCUCACAAAGGCGACGAUACAUAGCCGACCUGAGAGGGGGAACGGCCACACUGGUGCUGGAACCCGGGCCAGGAUCCAACGGGAGGGAGCAGUAGGGAAACUUUGGCAAAGGACGGAAGGCUGAACGAGCAACGCCGGGUGGGUGAAGAAGGUUUUCGGGUCGUAAAGCUCUGUUGUUAGGGUAGCGGUAUCUAUGCAGAAAGGGACGGCUAACUACGUGCCAGCAGCCGCGGUAAUAC
rnacentral:rRNA from 1 species